GAAGGUAUAGCUCAAGUGGCAGAGCACAUGCUUAGCAUGUACAAGGUCAUGGGUUCAAUUCCCAGUACUGCCU
rnacentral:tRNA from 1 species